rnacentral:rRNA from 1 species
CCUACGGGUGGCAGCAGUAGGGAAUAUUGCUCAAUGGGGGAAACCCUGAAGCAGCAACGCCGCGUGGAGGAUGAAGGUUUUAGGAUCGUAAACUCCUUUUGUUAGAGAAGAUUAUGACGGUAUCUAACGAAUAAGCACCGGCUCACUCCGUGCCAGCAGCCGCGGUAAUACGGAGGGUGCAAGCGUUACUCGGAAUCACUGGGCGUAAAGAGUGCGUAGGCGGGGUAGUAAGUCAGAUGUGAAAUCCUGUAGCUUAACUACAGAACUGCAUUUGAAACUGUGACUCUGGAGUGUGGGAGAGGUAGGUGGAAUUCUUGGUGUAGGGGUAAAAUGCGUAGAGAUCAAGAGGAAUACUCAUUGCGAAGGCGACCUGCUGGAACAUUACUGACGCUGAUGCACGAAAGCGUGGGGAGCAAACAGGAUUAGAUACCCGGUUAGUC